rnacentral:lncRNA from 1 species
UCCAUAUCGCUCUUGCUUUUCCGUCGCAACCCUGUCCUAAUCUCGGUGAAGGUAGUUUUCCAUCGCAGCUCUGCCCUAAACUCGAGGCAGGUAUCUUCUUCCUUGUGUCGUCCUAGCUCUGCUCGAGAUAGAAUUUCAGGUACGCCUCUUUUCCAGUCUGGUUACUCUUUUCUUCCAUAAGUUGUAUUGGUGGCAUUUUUUUCUUGUUUUAUUCUAGUUACUUUUUUUCCAUUAGCUCUGCCCUAAAUUAAUGGCGUUUUUAAAUUGGUUGAAGGCAUUUAAACAGAAUGUUAAGGACCAGUUUUAGUUUUCGUAUAUAUGAUUUCUUAUUUUAUGUUGAAAUCCAUGGUACAAAUAGAUUGUGGGACUUUGAAGCCAAAAAUUACAAAUUUAAUAUUUUGCUAGUGAAAGUGUAGUUUUGCUAUAGAGAUAAGUCCAAGCUAGUAGAUGCCUGGAUAUAUUUAAAAAAUCAGUGCUUUACUUGUAGUGUUGACAGAGUACUAGUUGUUUUAUGUAAACAUCUAUUUUUUUCAUCAAAACUCUUAGACUCAUCACUUAGGUGCUCAGUUCCAUUGUCUUUUUCUCAACAUGUUUAUAUGGAGUUGAACCCUAUUCUUUACAUGUUAUAUGACUUAAUUUGAAGUUGUAUUACGUGUUUGGCAAUUUAUUAUUGAAUCAAUUGAAUAGGUGUAGAGGCUGAAUAGUCUUCGAAUAAUUCCGGAGUCGAAAGGGCCUUAUUUUAAAGCCAAAAUUUCAAAAGGGAAAAUGAAUUAUCAAUUAACCAAAAGGUACAAAGUGUUGUAUUCUCUGCAACAAACAAAUUCUAUUGACGACUCACCUAAACAACAACAACAAUUUAUUAAUUCGUCGGGCAAAUUCCUAUGACAUAAUUUUUUUAUUUUCUUCUCAGUCGUUCUAUGCCAACUUCCAAUUUUUUUUGUUAAUUUUUAGUGUUGUCAACCAACACAACAAGGUACUUUUAGUCAUUCUGUGAUUCUUCUAUUUGAUAGUCCUACAAAGGCUCAUGCCUCACCUGAAUAUAUAAGAUCUUCAGUUCAUGUCCUCCAGUUUUCUGUCACCUACAACUGAAAUCCUAUUGUUUGCAACAAGUACACUCUUAUAUGUAAGAAGAACACUCAAAAAGAUCAAAGCAAUUAGACAUGUAUUCUUUACCUGUUCGGCAAUUAUUCUGUCAUUGGACGUCAUAUCAAUGUAAGUAUGUUACAUGAAACAAAAAAUUCUCUCAUUACAAAGAAAGACCUAUAUAUUCUGCCUAUCAUAUAAUAUUUAUACUUAUUUUACAAGCACACUGUAGUACAUUAAAGUAACUACUUCAUAACAAUACCCCUCGUACAUUUUGUUGGAAUGACUAAUCACAAUAGAUCGAGAUCAUUAAUCCUAGAAGUAUAUUCAGGAUACAUAGCUAGGAUUAUCCAUUACAAAAUAUCUUGACAGCUUUAGGUUUGAUGUUAUUAACUUUUAAGCAUGCUAUAUGUGCCUGUUUUGCUACUCGUAAAAGGAUAUCUCAAAUUAUAUGUUUUAUUAUAGUGCUUCUUGUUUGCUUCUCUUGCCUGACCACUUUAUAAUUCCUUAUUGCAAUAUAUAAUACAUAGUUGUUUCUAUAUAUACCAAAUACUUCUGUUUUACCAUUUUUACUUUGAAUGAAUCACUGUCCAGUUAACUUCUUCAUUCCAAUGCAGUGUUUUCCUCAGAGUUCUCAUCCAUCUAAGUAGACUGGUACAUAUGCCUGACUAACACUCUAAAAGAAGCAUUAUAAAGGUUACAUGUAGCUCCAUUGGUUCCAUUAAACAAUACAAAACUCUUGACCUAUAUACAUUCUUUGCUGAGAUGAUUUUAUGAAUUUUCCAAAGCUGUUUUUUUUUCCGAUUUGGUUACUCUUGUUCUUCUGCUUUCUUGUGUAGUUGAAUUAUUUUAGUUGUUGAUUCUCCUUUAUUUGUAUGGUGUUUAUUUCAUUAUAUAAGUCGUGGAAGCACAAUCUAUAUGUUGAACAUUAUAUUAUGACCUUGUUUUGACAGGAUGUUUAUAGAUGCAAUUUGAUUAUAAGUUACUUCAACAAUGCCCCUCUUCUCGAAUAGGAGGGGACUUGAUACAAAAGUAGAUUAUUUAGCGGCCAUACACUACAUUUGUCUUUGUGUCACGAUAAGAAACUUGAGCCAUCAUUAUUUUCCUACUAAUGAAUUUCGUUAACAUUAGAAUCUAGUCCUGCCCGAUUAUUGGAACAUUAACUUUUCUAAUUAAUUUUUCUUAUGUUCUUGCAGAUUUGUUGAUGUUUAUGGAUAACACUUGAUGAAAUUUAGACUCCUUUUGAGGUGAACAAUUUUAUUAUUCAAGUGUAAAAUUUACAUAUAUUUUUUUGGUAAGCAAAUAAUUGUACUUACCCAUCAGGAAAACCACAUUAAGCACAAGGUUGUUGCAAGAUUGGGCAAACUACCCCAAACAUUGCAGGUAGACUUAUUUGCAUAAUAGUUCAUACAUGACUAGAGGUUAAAAUAUAAAGAACUAGUAUAUAGAAAUUUGAAUCUUCACUUGGAUGUCUCUCAAGGUGUCGCAUUUUCCUAGAUAAUUUCUUAUGCAUAUUACCUCAGAAAAAGAGUUCUUGUGAAAAUCUGCAUAUUACCUCAGCAAAAGAGUUCUUGUGAAAAUGAAUUUGAUAAACUGUCGGUCAAUUCUUGCCUUCUUUUGGAAAUAGCCUUAUUAUUUUCUCUAAUAAAAUGUAAUAUACUUCAGCAGCUAAGCACAUUUUAUAGAUAUUUGCAAUAAUUGAAUGACCUCUUGCAUUUACCACAACCCACUCAAUUUCCUCAGUCCAUUUUGUUACAACUCUGCUCUGUUCAUUCAAGUUGAAUAUUUCCACCAGAUAAUAGUAGAGUAUUUGCAAUGAAAUAGUAGGUGAUCAAGUGUUCCUGGAUGGUCUAAACAGAGAAAGCCUGCCAUGUCUUUGAUAUCAGUCCACUUUGCAAUCCUGUCUUUAGUAUGUAGUCUUCCAUGUAGAGCCAAGAACAAAAUGAAUAUUCACGUAGAAGCACCAUAAUUGUCACACAAGCCUUCUCCAUGAGCAUUUAGGGUAGAUACCUCUAAUCUGCAGAUACAUGUUAUGUGUAGCAAACUAUUCAUUUGCAUAAUAUUAGGUUCUGUACGCCUAUUUAUUCCAUAUACUUUGCAGCUUUAAGGAUUUUUUUUCACAAGCCAACAUGCUUAUGUUGGUGUAUAUUAUUAUACCAAUCAUUAUUUAACGUCAUCUCAAAAUUUUGUACUUGCAGAUUUUGAAGAUUGAAGUUACAAGUCAAGAUGCAAGUUUAGAAGAUGCACAAACUCAUUAUUAUUUUGCUAUGAAUGUUAUGGAAUACUUGAUAUUAUAGUCUAGCUAAGAUGUUAGCUAAGUUUUUUCUUAGCUAUAUAUAUUAUCUCUUUGUAUUGAGAUUUUC